rnacentral:tRNA from 1 species
UAGAAAGUAGUAUAAUGGUAAAACAAAGAACUUUGACUUCUUAAAUAUAAGUNCAACUCUUAUCUUUCUAA